rnacentral:sRNA from 1 species
GCCAGGCAUGGUGGUGCAUGCCUGUAAUCCCAGCAACUUGGGAGGCUGAGGCAGGAGGAUCACAAGUUCCAAGGCCAGCCUGGGUGACUCGGGGAGACCCUGUUUCAA